rnacentral:misc_RNA from 1 species
AUGAGAUCAUGCCCUUCGGGGUAGACCUCCCACCCUUUGUUUACAAUACCUUUGUUGCUUUGGCGGCCCCGUCUCACGACAACCGGCUUCGGCUGGUCAGCUGGCCGCCAGAGGACUCAAAACUCAUAUUAUCAUUGUCGUCUGAGUACUAUAUAAUAGUUA